AAGCAACCCUUACUCCUGCGUUAUACACAAGGGGGGCGGGGAGUGGAGGCGGGCUGAUGAAGAGUCCAACCCUGAAAGCAGCUCUACCGCUCGAACUAAAUCGGGCUUAAAAAACCCAAAUGAAUCAGUUAAAGGGACUUCGACCACGUGACUCUCUGUGGCUCUUCAUUCCGCCGCCCCCGGGGAGGCACGAAACGCCUCCCGGGGGGGAAUCGGGACAUCCGCUCCGAGCGCUUGCCGUGAGGGAAAAGGGCCUACGACGACCCACUGCGGGGGGAGGAGGGAGAAGAAGGGCUCGAAAGACUCCUCCGCCUGCUGGUACCCACCCAGCGACCCCUGGGGCAGCACCACCAGCGCCAGCGUCCCCAACAACGGCCGAGCCCACCAAGAGCCCCUCAACUGGCAUCGCAUGAUGCCAAAACGCGAAAUUGGGACAGCCGCCGGGAAUCCGGGAUAAAGGGAGAAGCGACUCUCAGUCUCACUCUGCGCAUGCGGAGCUCGGCCCGGAGCCGAUUGGCUGUCGGGAAGCGGUGGCGCUCCAAGGAGGCGGGAGUGGCUGAACUGCUGGGUCUCGGGGGCUUUCUUUUUUCUGCGAGCAGCCCGAGAUCAGAAGUGGCGGGUGGGCUGUCGGAGAGCGCCUCUGCCUGUCUGUCCCUGCGUCGCCCUUUGCAGGCGGAGAACGGAGCGACCAGCUGUGUGAUCCUGUUUCUUUGCGAGCUAAACCUUUUCGACGCUCUGCUCGCCUGCAGAGACAAGUCCGACUCCAAUCCUUUAGAUGCGCUUUUGUCCUGCCGGGAGCCUGGAUCAUCUGGAUAAUGUGGCUCUCUACCAGCUGAAGAUGGGGCUGUUUUAUGCUGGGGGACCCGUAUUCUCCAAAUCGUACCAGAAGGAGAACCGAGUUAUUGAGGGUACAAGUCAGGAUAACCCAGGACAGACUAAAGAGGAUUUGGUGGCCCCCAAGGUGUGUGGAAGCUGUGGACUUCGGCCCUGAAGUCCAGAGGUAAGAGCACCUUUGAAUAUACAUUUGUAAUCACCUGUAAUCAGCAGCAAUAUAGGAAAAAAGUGCUGGAGGUGGAUGCUCACUUUAGUGGCAUCAUUUCAUACUAUGAGGGAGGAGGCAAUGGUAAACCACUCCUGUAUUCUACCAAGAAAACCACAUGGUUAUGUGGUCUCCAGGAGUCGAUAUCGACUCGAUAGCACAAUCUUUCCUUUUCCUAACCUAACCUAGCAGCGUUUUCCUAACCUCUUAGCUUUUUCUACCUACUUUCUCUGAUUUUGCAUAUUUCUAUCCCUUUUUUCCACUAUUUCACAGACUUUCCCUAGUUUACAUGCUUGACCAACAAAAACCAGGUAGUUCUUGUACAGAGGGGUGUUGGACAAAAAGACUUUGGACCAGCUCAGUCUCUAGACCAUUCUGGGGGCCUCCUUAUUCCUGCCCACCAGGAAUGCUUGCAGCAGAAACAGCCACUAAAGAGCCUUCUGUCCUGUUUGUUCCCAAGCCACUUGCAGCGCUAACAGCCGCCAAACAGCUGCCCGUUCUGCCUGACUGAGGCAGAAAUUCUUACGAAACAUUUAUUAGACAGAGGGUAUCCGAGACAAGUGGUUGUUGCAGCCAAAAAGAAAGCGUGCAGUAAAAGGAGGAGACAGCUGUUGGAAGAAAGACCUCAUAAAAAAAUGAACCGCCUUAUAUGGUCCUCAGACUUUACACCCCUGAGUUUUAAGAUUAAAAACAUUAUUCUCCAGGAAUGGCGUAUUGUUAAAGAUAUUCCGGGAUGUGCACCACCACCAAUUUUUGCUUUUAGGAGAACAAAAAACAUUAGAGACCAUCUUAUUAAAGCUGACAUAAGUGUUACUCCAUCACCUCCUAAAAAUCCAACAGGGUUUUAUCGUUGUGGCCAUUGUGCCGCUUGCUCUUUGGCUAUGGAAAUCAAUGAAGUAUAUAUUUCUAGUGAGAGACGAAUGUCUAAAUUCUUAUUCUUUGCCAAUUGCAGCAGUAAAAACAUCAUUUAUGUAAUUACGUGUCCUUGUGGUUUAAAAUAUGUGGGCAAAAGUAAUUGGGCAGUUAGGACUAGAAUCCUUGAACAUCGUUCUAGAAUUAAACAUAUAGUUUUGGAAGCACCUCUUACUGAACAUUUUAGGAGUUUCCAACAUUCCCCUGAAGCUAUCAGGUUCAGCGUAAUUUAUAAAUACCAACCAAAGAAAUUUGAGCAUGAGAAUGUUGAACAACUAUUGUUAAGAAUGGAGCCUACUUUUAUAUAUAGAUUGAAUACAAUCAUCCCGCAUGGGCUCAAUGUGACAUGUCAGUGUUCUUGUAAUUAUCCUAUUUUGUUAUGUGAUUUAUGUAUUUAAUUAUUGAAGGUUGGUUUUUUACAUCAGUUUUAUCUAAAGGGAUUUACUGUAGAUUUACCAUUUGUGUAUAGGAGUUGCUGGACUUUUGCUUAUUAAAAAUAAGGCUUGCUGCUUGUGCAGUCUUGGCAGUACGUCAGUAAUCUGCGAAUUAAGAAAAAGGUGUAUUUACAUUGAAUGUGUUGAUGUCUUUGGCUGUAUUUGAAGGAAUUUACCCCAGACUUGCUAUUUGUAGAUAGGGGUUUUCUGUAUUUCACAUGGUAGGCUGCUUAUGCAGCCUUAGCAGCAUGACAUGGCAACAAUCCAAAAAGCAAGAAAAAGUUGAAUUUUUACUGAAUGUGGUGAUAUCUCACAGCUGGUGCAGAAACGUUUAUAUUAAUUUUCUUGUAGAUCUAAUUGGAGGUGGCCCCACCUGGUAUGACGCAUCCUAAUUGGUGCUGGGCUAUGUAUCUCCAAGCUCUUGGUGCUUGAAGGUUAGCAAGCUUUUUUUUCCCCUCAGCAAGGUAUAGGAGGAAAGGCUGCCUCCAUAAAGAUUUGUUGGUCGAGCUAUCGUUGUUUGAGCUCAGGGAGGAUAAAAUUUGGUUUGUCUUGGCCUGUGUACAAGGAGGAGGAUGUUAUGUUUAUUAUUACGGCUAUCUAUUUAAGUUGCCGGUCAGAGGAUUAGCAAGUGCUUGUCUUAUCUUAACAGAAUAUUGUAGUUCUCUGAAGAAGGACUAAUUCCGAAAUGGGCUCAAGAAUCCCGGGCUAGCCUAUAAGGACUUCUUUCACCAUUGCAAGACUUCAUUCUCACGACUUUUUUCACCAUUGUAAGACUUUAUUCUUAAACAUAGAGAAAAGAAAUAAGUCUUUGUUCAAUUUACUGAGAUGCUAUUUUUUUACAUAUGAAAAAACUUGCAAGACAAUUGUUAUUGUUACUCAUUCAAGGUUUUUUUCACCAUUGCAAGACUUUAUUCUCAAUACAGAAAAGUAACAUACUUUUUUCACAUACUUACGCUGUAUUUUCAAAUACAUGAAUGGUUGUGAAUUGAAUUUGUAUUCAUCCUCAACGGUGAUUUUUUGCUCAAUUUACUGAGAUGUAAUAUCUUUGAUAUAUGUAUGUGCAGAUAUAACUUGCAAGACAAUUGUUAUUGCUAUUUAUUUACUCUAUGACUAUUAAAACAGUAUCUUCAGUCACAGAAGCAAUGGA